rnacentral:rRNA from 1 species
UACAGAGGAGCCAAGCGUUGUCCGGAUUGACUGGGCGUAAAGCGCACGCAGGCGGUCGCGCGCGUGGGGUGUGAAAUCUGGCCGCUUAACGGCCAGGCGCCAUCCCAUACGGCACGACUGGAGUGAUGCAGAGGUCGGUGGAAUUGCCGGUGUAGUGGUGAAAUGCGUAGAGAUCGGCAGGAAUACCGAUGGCGAAGGCAGGUCUCUGGGCUAUAACUGACGCUCAUGCACGAAAGCGUGGGGAGCAAACAGG